GGAGAGGUGGCCGAGUGGCUGAAGGCGGCGGUUUGCUAAACCGUUGUAGGGUUAAAAGCCCUACCGAGGGUUCGAAUCCCUCCCUCUCCG
rnacentral:tRNA from 1 species